CACUCGCAAUCUAGUGGUGAUUGCUUAAAUAUUGUGAAACCUUUUUAUUUCUUUAACUAUUACACAAACUUAAAAAAUUUAAGAAGGAUAAGUCCUUAUAUAGAUUUUUAACACUUGCUUUAAGGUUGGCGUAAUGUUAUGACUAGAAAUGUCAUGGACCAUACUUAUAACGUUUUGUGUUAGAUAUUUACAGCGCGCCUCAUAACCUCGCUAUUAAACCCGUGCGGUUUGCAAAGCUGAGACACCAUGGCACUUAUAAUAGAGGGAGAAACAUUAGGACAAAAACAUCGCAAUUACAACAAAUUAUUGAAUGAAGAAAUCAAAAACAAUCUAACUAAACCCGUUGCCGCAAUAAACUGCGAAGAACCAGAUAUGGAUAACCUAUUAAAAAUAGAUAUGGCGUGCAAAGUUAGAAAUGUUGAUUAUAUUCUUGAAGUUCUAAAAUGUGAUAACAUGUUAUACGUAUCUCGAGUUAUUAAGAAAUCCAUAUGGUUAUUAUCUGAUCAGCAAUACGCAUAUAUUAUUAAUCCUGCUUACUUGUACAACCACCUUUAUCCACAGAUGAGUACAAAGGCUUUUAAUAAACUCAUUCUGCACAUAAGGCUAAAUUUAGUGGAUGAAAAACGUGUUGAAGAGUUUUUUAACCAUUACAUACAAAAUGAUGUGGAUAAAGCAAUGGGUUGGCUAUCACGUUGCUCUAUUCCUUUUAUUGAGGAAAUUAUUCGGAAAUAUGCUGACGAUAUACCAAAUUGUAACAUGUUUUCUUAUUCUCAAUUGCAACGAUUAUAUGAAAAAUCUUUUACUUUUCUGGAUAUACUACAAAAAAAUUAUAGGCGCUCAUACUUCAAAGACCACAUAUUUGGACCCGGAAUGUUUCUUUUAAAAAGAAACCCCGAAAGGUUCCUAGAUAUAUUCGAGACACUUAAAGAACGCGACACACCAUUAUUCGGACGGAAAUAUACCAAAGUCGUAAUGGAAAAUUGUCCAGAAAGAAUAAAAAAUAAUCUUGAGAAAUACAUUUAUGUCCUUGAUAUACCAGUUUUUGCACAGUAUUUAAAAGAAGAAGAGGUUAAGAACUUUAUAAUAACGCACAUUAAGAAUAAGAAAACUCGUAUAUGGUUCACCUAUAAAAAAAUUAAAUACUUUUUGAACCGGUUGCCAUUUGAGGAGAGAUUUGAUUUCGUAAAAAAGAUUUUUAUUGACAAAUGCUGUGAAGAUGCACCCUUUGAUAAUGAGACUUGGGAUGAAAUAGUAAAGUUUUGUAAUCUGCCUCUCAAAGGAAAAUUAGCACCAUCUAAAAGUAUAUACAGCUGGUACGUCUAUGCACCAUUUAGUAAAGCUUUUGAAGAUUUGAAAUUGUUGAUUCGUAAUGAAUCAAGUCCCACUGAAAGAGUUGGGAUUUUGCGAUCACUAAUGACAUGUGCUCGUGGUAAUCAAAACAAUAUACUUACUUUAUUAAAAUAUUACCAUCAAAAUCACUUAAACGAACCUUUCUUGUUCAAGCUUCAGUUUGUAAAUCAUUUCAUUACCAAAACUGAUACACAUAAGUUUGACGAAGAAACUUGGGGAUACUUAAAUGAUAUUUUCAGCAACUUGGAAGUGUACACUAGAUACAAAGAUAGUAUGCAAUCGUGUGUGAAAUGCAUACUUUUAUAUAAUGUGAUUAAUGACGUCCAAAUUCCCGAUGAUAUAGAAAGUAAAUUUGAUUUCGAACAUUUCAUAACAAAUGAAUAUGAUUAUUCUAUAAAUAAGUUUAACAUGGACGAAAGAAAUAAAGUAUUUAAUUGCAUUUACAAUUAUUACAUUUCGAAAAUUAAAAUUGAUAUUACAAGUGAAAAACAGUUUGAUGAGGCUGUAAACGUUAUAUUAUCAGUUUUUAAAGUUCUCGAUAAAUGCAAAAAAGAACUCAAAGAUUAUCCAUUCGUUAUCCAGAAAAUCAAAGACCUUGUUAUUAUAAAAAGAGAAAAUUCCUGGAAUCGUGAUCUUUCAAGUGUGUACAACUUCAAAAAAUCCUGGAGAAAGAUGUUUUUUAUAGAAUCCAUUAUUCUAUGUCCCAACUACGAAAGCUGUAUGAAUGCUCUUAAACAUGGUCCUGAGCUAUUAGAAAUUCACAGAAAAGAAAUAAACUCAUGCAUAAAUGAUAACUUCCUUUACUUUGACAACUUUCUGAGGAAAAUUCAAAUUUACGGGUAUCGAUCUUUAGCAGACUCAUUUAAAGCAACUUUUAUGGAGAACCUCAAUAAAAUAAGCCUUCACAAGUCCACCAUAAGAGGUCUAUGUAUAUUACUUACACGAAAAGAGCUGUUUGAAUUUGUUCAAAGAUAUGUUCCGACAGAAUCCAAAAUUAUUUGGAGCCAACCUGAUAACGAAAUCCUCAGCAUACAGAAAAAUAUCGCUGCAUUUAUGCAUCUAUCAAGACCUCACCCUCCACUUGAUCUGGCUUUGUUGUACGCUAAAGGAGAUUAUUUGAAAUAUGUACUACCUUCAUUAAAUGCAAUAGUUCAUAACAUUAAUUCAACUGAAAUUAGCGAGCAUGUAGCAAAGCUUCUUAACGCACCAGUAUCUUUACAAAAACAUGGCAUUCGAGUUGCAUUUGCUAAGCUAAAUCAAAAUCAACUUAUAAAUAUGUUUACAGAAAUUUGGAAAUCUAAUAAAAGCAGAAGUAUUCGAAAUGUUAUAUUUUCCGAGACUUUCAAGAUGCUUUGUAAAGAAACUGAUGAAAUAGUUUUUUUUGGUAUAUGGGAGAUGCUCCGCAUGUUUAGCAAUGAUACUUUCAAGGGAAAUAAAAAGAUAUAUUUUACUCUAAGCAGAAUUGAAAAUUACCCACUUUCUAUAAAACCGACUAUUUGGAUAAAAAGCUAUGAAUUGUUAGAAAAAAUGCCAGCUCAAACAAAGUGUAAGAAAAGUAUUGAUGAAUUAAAAAACGAAAUGGGCAAUAUCAUGGAGUUCUUAGAUGUAGAUUUUAUGGCAAAAUUGUUAUUAGAAAAUUUUGAUAAAAGUUUUGCUACACAGAAAUAUGGCCACUCUGAUCGUAUAGCUAUUUAUUUGUUAAGUACAAAAUCAGAAUCAGUUCAAAGUGAGCGCUAUGAAAAAAUUUUUAAGCCGCUAUUAGAAAAGGUUGUUCCUGUGUGGAAUAAGCGAUACGAAACAUUUCACUACGCAAGAAAUAACUUACGGGAUAUAUUUUAUUCUUUGUCUAUGAAAUUCGAUUCUUUAGUUUUGGAUAAGAAAAUGAUUUUUCCCAUCGCCAUGUAUACUGCAGCACUGAAUCACCUUCAGAGUGCUUUAUCGUUAAAAGAAAAUUAUUUUCUCUUGACACAUAUAAAGUUAUCGUUGGGAUACAUACGAGUUGUAUCUGACCUCAAAACAAAAUGUAUCGAUUUUAAGGACGACCAGCUUUCUAAAGAAGCAGCACGUAGUUUUGGCGCGCUGUGUUUAGAUUACUUAAAGGAUGAUGUCGCAAAUUAUUUUUCUACUAUUCACGUCAUUUUUGCUAAAGUUUUGGGCCUCAUUUGUGACCAGUAUGCCCCACGCAAUUACGUUUUUAAAAUGGGAGUCUUAAAAGCAUUUCUUUGCGAUAAAAAUUUCAUUCAAGGAUAUUUAUUAGUUGCUGAAUUAAUGCCAAAUUCGAACCACUUCAAUGAACGCAGCGAAAAAGCUCUGCAAUUGGAAAUGUUAAAAGAACUCAGCACACAUCAUUCGGAAGAAGUUGUAGCCCAUUAUUGGCGUAUACGAAACUAUUUGUAAUUCAACUUUUUUGCUCUUUGCAAGGAAAGGAAGACGUAAUUGUUAAUUUGUUUUUUUGUAAUCGACUAUCUUCAAAUAGGUGGAGAUUAUCAAUUCGGAUGUUAUGAUCUCCGGUGAAUCAAGAAGAUGCUUCUAAAUUAAUACAAUUGUGUGGCAGAAAACUUAAUUAACAUAUGUUACAGAAUUAAUGCCAACCUCGAACUUCUUUUGUGGUAGCAGCGAAACAGCUCUGCAACUGGAAAUGUUAAAGGAACUAAGCAUCAUCAUUCGGAAGAAGUUGUAUCGCAUUAUUGGCUUAUACGAAAGGAUUUGUAUUAUUUUUGUUCUCAGUGAUAGUUUGUAAAUAACAC